UGGAUCCAGACUUUGAUCAUGGCUCAGGACGAACGCUGGCGGCACGCCUAACACAUGCAAGUCGAACGGAGAGAUGGAGCUUGCUCCAUUGAUCAGUGGCGGACGGGUGAGUAACACGUGAGCAACCUGCCUUUCGGAGGGGGACAACAGUUGGAAACGACUGCUAAUACCGCGUAACGUUGCGAGAUCGCAUGGUCAUGCAACCAAAGGAGCAAUCCGCCGAAAGAUGGGCUCGCGUCCGAUUAGAUAGUUGGUGAGGUAACGGCCCACCAAGUCGACGAUCGGUAGCCGGACUGAGAGGUUGAACGGCCACAUUGGGACUGAGAUACGGCCCAGACUCCUACGGGAGGCAGCAGUGGGGGAUAUUGCACAAUGGGGGAAACCCUGAUGCAGCGAUGCCGCGUGAGGGAAGAAGGUUUUCGGAUUGUAAACCUCUGUGGAGGGGGACGAUAAUGACGGUACCCCUUAAGGAAGCCACGGCUAACAACGUGCCAGCAGCCGCGGUAAUACGUAGGUGGCGAGCGUUGUCCGGAAUUACUGGGUGUAAAGGGAGCGUAGGCGGGAGUGCAAGUCAGAAGUGAAAACUAUGGGCUCAACCCAUAGCCUGCUUUUGAAACUGUACUUCUUGAGUGAGCCAGAGGCAAGCGGAAUUCCCAGUGUAGCGGUGAAAUGCGUAGAUAUUGGGAGGAACACCAGUGGCGAAGGCGGCUUGCUGGGGCUUUACUGACGCUGAGGCUCGAAAGCGUGGGGAGCAAACAGGAUUAGAUACCCUGGUAGUCCACGCCGUAAACGAUGAUCACUAGGUGUGGGGUGAGAACCACUCCGUGCCGGAGUUAACACAAUAAGUGAUCCACCUGGGGAGUACGGCCGCAAGGCUGCAACUCAAAGGAAUUGACGGA
rnacentral:rRNA from 1 species